AGUUUUUAAAACUCUUGGGCGAAUACAACCCCUAAAAUCAUGCGCAACAGCAAAGAAAAAGGAGAGGGGGAAACGCGAGAUAGAGAGACGCGGAGGGUCACGCUAUUCACCGAACCCAGCCCCCGCUUGCCGUCGAGCCAACCGGAAUUCGACGUUGUCUCUCCGUCACAGCGCCUUCUGGGGAGAGCGCAAGCGACACGGCCAAGGUCCUCCAGCCGCCAUCUCCGAUCGAGCCGGAGAUCGUCGCUUGAAAAAGUAGAGAGGUCGCCGGCCACCGCCAUGGCCGGAGCCACCUCCGAUCAGGCCGAAGGACGUCCGCGUUGCCAACUUCGAUCGCCGACCGAGACCACCAUCGACGCCGCUCAGAUCGCGACCAUCAUCGCCGAAGGCCACCAUCCGCCGCCGACGUCUCGCAGUCAGACCCGCCACCGGCGCCGCCAUAGGACUGCACCCGCCGUUCUCCUCUUCCAGAAAACAACCGCCACCAUAUCGGAAAAACCGGUUUGAUGUAGGUUCCCAAUUUUUGAAUACCUUUUCCUAUCCACCCACAACUCCAUCACCAUUCCUAGCAACUCUCAACUUUUCAGGUGCCUUGUGAAAGACUAUGUUGGGACUGUGAGAAACACUCCCUCAGGUUUUGCCGUUUUGGAGAUAUCGAUAUCUGAGGGGUUUAAGAUUGAAUCAAAGGAUGUGUUAAGGCAGAAUAAUAAGGGAUGAGAAAAAGUGAUUGUUGGUUUAGGGUAAACCAUUAUCUGCCCUGCUCGGAGCUCCAAACUGGGAUGAACGGUGGAGAUCUGAUUGGAUUUGGAGAGCAUACAGACCCACAAGUGAUCUUUGUUCUUCAACGUUGGUUAUUGUUUGCAGGUAUGCAAUUUUUUCUGUUUUCGUUUUUUAGCAUUCUUCCCUUUGUGUGAACUUGUGAAAAUAAAAAUGUAAUACCAUGUGUUUAUUAUUUAGGGAAAAUAAAAAAAUUUCCUAAAUAAUAUGCUAUAUUAUAUUAAAGAUUCGAGUUAAUACUUCCAAUGGUCUUCAAAGCGAUUUACCAGGUGUGGUCCCUCGUCUUUAAAACGACACCAGCGGACGUCCUCCAAGUUUUAAAAAGUUACCACUUGUGAUCCUCUUUUAACUUUUCUGUCAAAAGGGUGUUAAGUGGGAGGGCAAAGAUGUCCUUUCGCCAUUACUUUAAUUUCUUUGUUAGCUGACCACUCUUUCCCCCAAAUUGAGUUUGGAAAAGCUUCGCCGCCAUGAGCGUUCUUCAUACCUCCACUUCCUACAAUGUCGGAUUCGGCAUCUCCCAUCUCCCCCUUCUCUGCUCCUCCGACUAGGUCAUCUUCUUCCACUCACUGCUGCCAUGUUGCCUUCGCUGCCAGUGCAGAGCCAUUUGAGAAAUCUAUUGAAAUUAUGAGGAAGUUCUCAGAGCAGUAUGGUAUGCUCCUAAGUUGGGAAUAUAUUUCUGUAUGGAUAAAGGGGUGACUGUAGUUGUUAUCAAGGGAUUGGCAGAACACAGCGAUACAUUGGGUGCACCACUUUGCCCCUGCAGGCACUAUGAUGAUAAAACUGCAGAAGUUGAUCAAGGCUUCUGAAAUUGUCCUUGUGUACCAAUGAGAGAGAGGAAGGAGUGCAACUGCAUGCUUUUUCUCACCUGGGAUAAUGAUUUUGCUGGAGAAGAAUAGACUAUUUCUUUGGAGGAGAGCAGAGAAACAACUGCUAAUAUGUGAUUCAUCACACCUUGGACUUGUCCGCAUAUGUAGAUACGUGUGCUCACCAAUAAUAUGCUAGUAUUUCAUGUUAUUAUAUUAGGAAUACCUAUGCCCCUUUAUUAUUUCUAUUGAUCAUUCUGGAGUUUAAAAAAAAAAAAAAAAGAGCUUCCCACGGACAAGUUCCAAAAGAAGGAUUUUUUUUUAUUGAGAUCGAGAAGCCUCACCUUCCUCUUCACUCCCAAAAAUUCCAUACCCAGUAAUAUAAGAUCAGAAGAAAAACUCAUCACGUUCAUUUCCGAUUAUUGGCCACAAUUUUUCUGAAGUUUUCCACCAUAUCUAAACUGGGAAUUUUUCAUCAUAGGGUUUCUCCAAGCUACUGCAUUUUUGUCUGCUAUAUUUAGCUAAAAACAAUAGUUUAUUACAACUGUUUCUUCGUUUUCGUACGUACUGGGAAAAGAGAUUUUGUUCGCCUGUCUCUCCUUUGCUCCCCACGCUAAUUUGUAGUUUGAGGAAAUCAAGCUAAGGUUGUAAGAAGUGAAGCCGAAGUUGGUUUAAUUUUGGUUUGUCGAUUGAGAAGCACUAGCGAUCAUAACUCGGAAGAAGAUAAAGAUAAAAAAGAUCGACAACUUGCAGCCAAGCAAGGUAACAUUCUCUAAGAGGAGAAGAGGGCUUUUCAAGAUAGCUGAAGAGCUUGUCGUCCUUUGCGACGCCGACGUGAAAGGAGCAGAUUAAUCCAAUCCACAGUACAGAAAUAAUGAAAAAUUCAUUAAUAAUUCACAAGAAGAAAUAUAGGUGAAAGGAGCAGAUUAAUCCAACAUUCUAGGCUGUGAAGUGUGAACGAAGGCUUAAAAGGAAGAAAUAUAGGUGAAAAGACAGUUUUGCCCUUAUAUUUAACGCCCUUUUGACAGCAAACUUAACGGAGGACCUCGGGAGGUAAUUUUUUUAAACUAGAAGGACGUCUGGUAGUCGUUUUAAAGACGAGGGACCACACCUGGUAAAUCACUAAUACUCGGAGGACCAUUGGAGGUAUUAACUCUAAAGAUUCUGUUUACAACAAACUAUUAUUCCUUAUUAGAUUUGGGAAACGCCUUAUUAGAUUUGGGAAACACACCGGUUGUCCCAUCUAUAACGUAACCAUACUACUAAUGUCCCUCAUUUGUCAUAUUGAGUCUUUCAAAUUUCAUCAAUAAUGCAUCGAAUUAAUUGCUAAGUAUAUGUUUUAGAAAUGGACAAUUUUUGUGCCAAUUAGCACCACACAAAUACACUCACAUAUAUAUAACAAAAUAAAGAAAAUAUUUAAUUGUUGAUUCAA